UACGUAGGGUGCAAGCGUUGUCCGGAAUUAUUGGGCGUAAAGAGCUCGUAGGCGGUUUGUCGCGUCUGCUGUGAAAACUCAGGGGCUUAACUCUGAGCUUGCAGUGGGGUACGGGCAGACUAGAGGUGCGGUAGGGGAGACUGGAAUUCCGUGGUGAUAGCGGUGAAAUGCGCAGAUAGUCAGGAGGAACACCGGUGGCGAAGGCGGCUCUCUGGGCCUGUUCAUGACGCUCGAGGCGACGAAAGCUACGGGGAGCGAACAGG
rnacentral:rRNA from 1 species